rnacentral:rRNA from 1 species
CGUGAGUGGCGGACGGGUGAGUAACGCGUGGGUAACCUGCCUCAUACAGGGGGAUAACAGUUAGAAAUGACUACUAAUACCGCAUAAGACCACAGCACCGCAUGGUGCAGGGGUAAAAACUCCGGUGGUAUGAGAUGGACCCGCGUCUGAUUAGGUAGUUGGUGGGGUAACGGCCUACCAAGCCGACGAUCAGUAGCCGACCUGAGAGGGUGACCGGCCACAUUGGGACUGAGACACGGCCCAA